UACGAAGGGUGCAAGCGUUACUCGGAAUUACUGGGCGUAAAGCGUGCGUAGGUGGUUGUUUAAGUCUGUUGUGAAAGCCCCGGGCUCAACCUGGGAACUGCAUCCAAAACUGGCAAGCUAGAGUACGGUAGAGGGUGGUGGAAUUUCCUGUGUAGCGGUGAAAUGCGUAGAUAUAGGAAGGAACACCAGUGGCGAAGGCGACCACCUGGACUGAUACUGACACUGAGGUGCGAAAGCGUGGGGAGCAAACAGG
rnacentral:rRNA from 1 species